rnacentral:rRNA from 1 species
UACGUAGGUGGCGAGCGUUGACCGGAUUUACUGGGCGUAAAGAGCGCGCAGGCGGUCGUUCAAGUCGCGUGUGAAAGCCCCCCGGCUCAACUGGGGAGGGUCACGCGAUACUGAUCGACUCGAAGGCAGGAGAGGGUAGUGGAAUUCCCGGUGUAGUGGUGAAAUGCGUAGAUAUCGGGAGGAACACCAGUGGCGAAGGCGACUACCUGGCCUGUUACUUGACGCUGAGGCGCGAAAAGCUAGGGGAGCAAACGGG